rnacentral:rRNA from 1 species
GAUGAACGCUGACAGAAUGCUUAACACAUGCAAGUCAACUUGAACUUCGGUUUGGGUGGCGGACGGGUGAGUAACGCGUAAAGAACUUGCCUCACAGAUAGGGACAACAUUUGGAAACGAAUGCUAAUACCUGAUAUUAUGAUUUUAGGGCAUCCUAGAAUUAUGAAAGCUAUAUGCGCUGUGAGAGAGCUUUGCGUCCCAUUAGCUAGUUGGAGAGGUAACGGCUCACCAAGGCGAUGAUGGGUAGCCGGCCUGAGAGGGUGAUCGGCCACAAGGGGACUGAGACACGGCCCUUACUCCUACGGGAGGCAGCAGUGGGGAAUAUUGGACAAUGGACCAAGAGUCUGAUCCAGCAAUUCUGUGUGCACGAUGAAGUUUUUCGGAAUGUAAAGUGCUUUCAGUUGGGAAGAAAAAAAUGACGGUACCAACAGAAGAAGUGACGGCUAAAUACGUGCCAGCAGCCGCGGUAAUACGUAUGUCACAAGCGUUAUCCGGAUUUAUUGGGCGUAAAGCGCGUCUAGGUGGUUAUAUAAGUCUGAUGUGAAAAUGCAGGGCUCAACUCUGUAUUGCGUUGGAAACUGUGUAACUAGAGUACUGGAGAGGUAAGCGGAACCACAAGUGUAGAGGUGAAAUUCGUAGAUAUUUGUAGGAAUGCCGAUGGGGAAGCCAGCUUACUGGACAGAUACUGACGCUGAAGCGCGAAAGCGUGGGUAGCAAACAGG